UACGUAGGGGGCAAGCGUUGUCCGGAUUUAUUGGGCGUAAAGAGCGUGUAGGCGGCCUGACAGGUCUGCUGUGAAAACUCGAGGCUCAACCUCGAGCUGUCGGUGGAAACUGUCUGGCUAGAGUCCGGAAGAGGAGAGUGGAAUUCCUGGUGUAGCGGUGAAAUGCGCAGAUAUCAGGAAGAACACCUAUGGCGAAGGCAGCUCUCUGGGACGGUACUGACGCUGAGACGCGAAAGCGUGGGGAGCGAACAGG
rnacentral:rRNA from 1 species